AGAAUUGUUAACUAGGUAUAACAAUAUAAAGAAGAGGAUUAAGGCAAGAAGAGAAUACUAAGGUAUCAAGGAGGUAGGAAUUACAAAAAAAGCCGCCCUCUCCGGGGCUGGGGGAACAAGUGAAGAGGUUGAAAUUAUUAAAAUUUAGAAGAAACUUAGAGGAGGGAACUUACAGCAUUGAAACUCAGACCCCUGAGGAGCGGAAUUUUGUUCAGCUGGUGCUGUAAGCUUGGAGGAGCAUCCCCAUGUGGCUGGGACCAGACCUCCGAGGAGGGAGCACUGAUUGGUUAGUGGUGGUUCUCUGAAUGUGGAACACUCAGGCUGACUCUUUAAAUGUUGGAAAAACUGCACACUGGAUUUAGCUACUGCAAAGUUUAAGCAAGGAUGCUGUAGGUGUAAAAAGUUGUCAGGGGUAAUUUUGACCGGAAGGGGAGGCAGAGAGGGAGGAGCAAGUCCCUUUUUCCUCUUUCAGCCUUUCUCUCCCCUUCAAGUACCCCUUAUUGCCAGAGGCUAACCAGGUGCCAGAUGGUGAAUUGGAAAUACUGUGUGCAAUUUCAGCACCAGAAUCGCAGAGUUUACAAGGAUGGGAUUGGAGUGGAAAGACGACCCAAAGUGGCAGGGCAACUGGUGAAUUUCAUUCAGUGACUGGCCAGAAGGACCCAGAGUUUAUUUUUUCCUACAAACUCAAUCAUGCCCAGAUGACUGCUGCCAUAGUCAACAUUGUGUUACCAGGCACCGGUCAGCUUGAACUCACAGAGCUCUUCAGGCCUGUCAUUUUCCUGGGUAUUCCUUCCAUCAGCUUCUCUUGCAGGCCUGGAUUUUCCUAUCAACAAAGACCUUGCAGAGUUCAUUAGUUGGAAUGGACACUUUGGGAUUCUGAGCAGCCCUUUACAACCCUCACUUUCUGUUCAGCCUUUCCAGCUGGUGACUCUUGGUAUUUAAAGUGCCUUUAAUUUUAUCCAACAGAUGUGUUAUGUCUCCUCAUUUUUUUUGCGAUUAUUUAUAAUGCUGAAUAUUCUUAAACAUGUAUUUUUGUAUGUAUGUAUGUAUAUUUCUUUAUCACAAAUACCUAGAAAUGGAAUUGCUAGAUUAAAGACUAUAUGACUUAAGAUUUUUCUAGACCUUGCUUAACAACUAUCCAUAAAGGCUAUAAAAAGUGGACAUUCCCACCAAAUGAGCAUAUAAAUAUCUCUUUUUCUCCCAUUUCCAGUAUUUCCCAUCUGACAUUUUGAAAUUUUAAAGGUUUUGCCAAUGUGAUAGGUAAAAAAUUACACCUAAUACCUGUUUUCAUUUUGCACCUCCUGGAUUUCUAACAAGGCUGAACAUCUUUCAUUAUAUUUGUUAAUUUCUAGUAUUUAUGUUUCUAGUGUAAGUAGCCUUUUCAAAUUCUUCACCCAUUUUUCCACCAUGUUGUUUAUCUGCUUCUCAAUAAUUUCUAGGAGCUCUUUGAAAAUUAAAGCAAUUAAUUUUUGUCAGUAAUAUUUUACAAAAUAUUUUUCUAAGUUUACCAACUGUUUUUUUUUUUUUUUGAUGAGGAACAUUCACACUGAGCUAACAUCUUUUGCCAAUCUUCAUCUUUUGCUUGAGGAAGAUUGUUGCUGAGCUAAAAUCUGUGCCCAUCUUCUGCUAUUUUGUAUGUGGGAUGCCUCCACAGCGUGGCUUGAUGAGCAGUGUGUAGGUCUGUGCCCGGGAUCUGAGCUGACGAACCCUGGGCAACCAAAGCAGAGCGUGUGGACUUAACUACUACAUUGCCAGGCUGGCCCCUGUCGAUUGGUUUCUAAACUCUAUGGAUUUUUAAAAUUUUUUUACUGUAUGGAAAUUUUGGAUUCUUAGAAAGUAAAAUUUUCAUGGAUUUUUUAGUGUCUUAUUAAGAAGAUUCCACUCAUGCAAGGACUACAAAUAUAUUCUUUAAAAAUUUCUUCUCCAUUCACAACAAAAUGGAUGGACCUUGAGGAUAUUAUGUUAAGCAAAAUAAGCCAGCUAGAGAACACUGUAUGAUUCCACUGAUAUUUGGAAGACAGACAAACACAUGGACGAAGAGAACUGUAUAGCGGUUACAGGGGGAAGACAGGAGGGGGGUGAGCACAAAGAGUGAAAGGGCACACCUAUGAGAUGACUGACAUAAUAAUGUACAACUGAAAUUU
rnacentral:lncRNA from 1 species